rnacentral:misc_RNA from 1 species
GGACAAACGACCAAUGUCGGCCCUGAAUUUGAAUUGGCAGACCGUCUGUCAGGACUAAAAACUGUUUUUCCCUUCACGUGUAGAGUGUGUAUUUGUUCAGUCUUUUGCUUCUUCCGCGAAAUGUCAGUGUUUCUACUGUCUGUUCCCCUUCUAUUCCUUUUACUAAAUGAAGCAGCCCAUGUGUCUUCCUCUUCAUCUAAUCCAUCAUCUCUCUGAGAACUUAGAUGCCCACUUUUGAUUGAAGAAAUAACAUCACCACAUUUAUCCAAAGCAAUCAAAGAAAGGAGGGUUAGUGUCUUCCCCAACCCCAUAUCAUCUGCAAAUAUUCCGCCUCGUAUAGGUUCAGGUUUUUUAUCUGUAGAGUAAUUUGUCAAGACAUUCACAUAAUUACCCUCUUUCUCUUCCCAAAAAGGAGGCAAUUCUUCAGAUAUCUCCCUCUGAA